rnacentral:sRNA from 1 species
CGUUUAUGUAUUUAAUUACCUUCCUGAAUGCUGAUGAUAAAACCACGCUUACCAAAACCGAAGACAGUUGAAGAAGACAGGAACCCACUAUUCUUAAUAAGGAGGAAGUAUUAAGUUGCAUUACCAAGCUUGAUUCCCGAACAAUAUUGUGUAUUUAAGUAUUGGUAUUACCCUAGUCAGAUCAGCAAUAUAUUUUGUAUCAAUUUCACUCGAAAGACAAUUCAACCCUUCAUGAUUUCAACCAGUGUACACGUAAUAAAGUAGAGGCGUGCAAAUUCUAGUAAGUACUCAAAAUAGACUUUAAUAUUCACAAGCUUCGAGCAACCUUGGCCAAGGAAUGAUGGUGACAAAAGUACAAGAGCAAAGGUCAUCCGUAACUCCUCGGCUAUUUCCACUAUACCGGAUGAAGAAGUCGAGAAGUAAAUAGGAGCAAAACGUCCCUAUGUACCGAACGUUAAAAAAAUUGCAGGCAUUUCCUUCACGUCUAAAUUUAUUCAUUGAUUCUUUUAAUAAUUAGCAAUAAUUUGGUAAAACAUUUACAAAAAAUUGGGAGGACGGAAAUUAACAUAUCGAUUGUUUUAUAUACCUUGUUUCUAAAAAUUCAAUUCGAUUGUAGUAGAUGUGACCUUUUCUUGACUGCUGUAAAUUGAUUAAGCAAACAUGUGGUCGCAUACCAAAUGCCAUGAACCACUCUAAUACG